CGAAGAGAUAACCACUGAGGAGAUAACCCGAUGAAGAAUUACGGAAUAUGCCGACGACGCAAAUUAUGCAAAUAGUAAUAUGUUUUGAUUAUAACUUUUUCGUUUAAACAAUUGGACAUUGUCAAAAAGAGAUGUUAAAAAAAAAAACACAAGAAAAAACCAGUUGGUUUUUUAAACCAUUGCAAUAAAAAGACGCAAGCGCGAUUGCGCGAAUAAAGCAUAAAAAUUAAAUAAUAGAUAUUUCAUAUCUAUUAUCUCUAAGGAAUAAAAGCCCCUACAAAAUGGACUUACGUAUAGUCAAACCGGAUGUUCUCUUGCGAGCAACAUUGCAAUAUUGUCCCAGAAUAUUGCAGUUUUGAUAGGCAGAUUGCUCAGAGCAAUUUGCAACCGACGCAAACAAAUUGCAAGUUGAAAUUCACAAAAGAUUUGUAAACAAAGCAUCUGAUUGGACUAUAAGAAAAAGGGAAGCCAAUCAAAUAGUCUGAGCAACUGGAUUAGGCUUUCCUCUUUCUUAUAGUCCAAUCAGACGCUUUGUUUACAAAUCUUUUGUAAAUUUCAACUUGUAAUUUGUUCGCGUCGAUUGCAAAUUGCUCAGAGCAAUCUGCCUAUCAAAAUUGCAACAUUGUGGGAUGAUAUUGCAAUGUUGCUCGCAAGAGAACAUCCGCUUUGACUGUAACAAUGCGAUCCAACCCAAUUCAACAAUUUUCAAAUGUUUUUUUACUGUUUCUUUAAAGCAAAAAUUUUCAAUUCGGGUAAAUCUAAUGAACUUAUCCAAAAAGAUUUUAGAAAUAUUUCAACAUUGUUGCCUGAUGUCCGAUCGCUUUGAAAGGGAAAGUGGUUGGGCAUGAUCGCUGUGAUAGAAAACUAGAAUUACUGAAUUAUUUCCGUACAUUUUAUCAUUUUCGUGCGCCAUGUCGGGCUUUGAAAGCCUGGGGCCGGUUGUAUAAAAACGUAGUUAGCGCUAACUGCAGUUAAAAAGUAGUUAAAAAGUAGUUAAAGUUAACUAUGCUUUAGGGUAUAGUUAACUGUCCAAAACGUAGUUAAAAAUGGCGUUUGUAUAGGAGUGAACAACAUUUUUCAGUAAAACAAUAAUGAAAAGCAACGCUUACCUGAGAUUUUCAAUCGCUAUCUUUCUUGUGAAUGUUUCCUGACAAUAUAAAUUCUUCAAACGCUAUCGCUUUGGUAUUUUUACGAAAACAGAACAUAUUUUUGCACAGGAGGAUUUCUCGAAGACGAAGUAUGGUCCAUUACACCUAGAAACACUGAUAUAUAAUUGCAAAACAGCUAUACC